CAAGGCGAACGAGGGGAAGUGAAACAUCUCAGUACCCUUAGGAAAAGAAAUCAAUUGAGAUUCCCUCAGUAGCGGCGAGCGAACGGGGAUCAGCCCAUUAAGUUAUGUGUGUUUUAGUGGAACGCUCUGGGAAGUGCGAACGUAGAGGGUGAUAUUCCCGUACACGAAAGGGCACACAUAAUGAUGACGAGUAGGGCGAGGCACGUGAAACCUUGUCUGAAUAUGGGGGGACCAUCCUCCAAGGCUAAAUACUCCUGACUGACCGAUAGUGAACCAGUACCGUGAGGGAAAGGCGAAAAGAACCCCUGUGAGGGGAGUGAAAUAGAUCCUGAAACCGCAUGCAUACAAGCAGUGGGAGCACCUUCGUGGUGUGACUGCGUACCUUUUGUAUAAUGGGUCAGCGACUUAUAUUCAGUAGCGAGGUUAACCGUAUAGGGGAGCCGUAGAGAAAUCGAGUCUUAAUAGGGCGUUUAGUUGCUGGGUAUAGACCCGAAACCAGGCGAUCUAUCCAUGAGCAGGUUGAAGGUUGGGUAACACUAACUGGAGGACCGAACCCACUGUCGUUGAAAAGCCAGGGGAUGACUUGUGGAUAGGGGUGAAAGGCUAAUCAAGCCUGGUGAUAGCUGGUUCUCCCCGAAAGCUAUUUAGGUAGCGCCUCGGACGAAUACCAUAGGGGGUAGAGCACUGUUUCGGCUAGGGGGUCAUCCCGACUUACCAAACCGAUGCAAACUCCGAAUACCUAUGAGUACUAUCCGGGAGACAGACUGCGGGUGCUAACGUCCGUAGUCAAGAGGAAAACAAUCCAGACCGCCAGCUAAGGCCCCAAAAUCAUAGUUAAGUGGGAAACGAUGUGGGAAGGCAUAGACAGCUAGGAGGUUGGCUUAGAAGCAGCCACCCUUUAAAGAAAGCGUAAUAGCUCACUAGUCGAGUCGGCCUGCGCGGAAGAUGUAACGGGGCUAAAACUAUGUGCCGAAGCUGCGGAUGUAUACUUUGUAUACGUGGUAGGGGAGCGUUCUGUAAGCCGAUGAAGGUGUGUUGAGAAGCAUGCUGGAGGUAUCAGAAGUGCGAAUGCUGACGUGAGUAACGACAAAACGGGUGAAAAACCCGUUCGCCGAAAGACCAAGGGUUCCAGUCCAACGUUAAUCGGGGCUGGGUGAGUCGACCCCUAAGGCGAGGCCGAAAGGCGUAGUCGAUGGGAAAAUGGUUAAUAUUCCAUUACUUCUGUGUAAUGCGAUGAGAGGACGGAGAAGGCUAAAUCAGCCUGGCGUUGGUUGUCCAGGUGAAAGGAUGUAGGCAUGUAUCUUAGGCAAAUCCGGGGUACUCUAUGCUGAGAUCUGAUAGCAAGCUGUACUUGUACAGCGAAGUGGUUGAUGCCAUGCUUCCAGGAAAAGUCUCUAAGCUUCAGUUACACAGGAAUCGUACCCGAAACCGACACAGGUGGUCAGGUCGAGUAGACCAAGGCGCUUGAGAGAACUCUGCUGAAGGAACUAGGCAAAAUGGUACCGUAACUUCGGGAGAAGGUACGCUGUUGUUGGUGAUGGAACUCGCUUCCUGAGCUGACGACAGCCGCAGAAACCAGGCCGCUGCAACUGUUUAUUAAAAACAUAGCACUCUGCAAACACGAAAGUGGACGUAUAGGGUGUGAUGCCUGCCCGGUGCUGGAAGGUUAAUUGAUGGGGUUAGCGUAAGCGAAGCUCUUGAUCGAAGCCCCAGUAAACGGCGGCCGUAACUAUAACGGUCCUAAGGUAGCGAAAUUCCUUGUCGGGUAAGUUCCGACCUGCACGAAUGGCAUAAUGAUGGCGGCGCUGUCUCCAGCAGAGGCUCAGUGAAAUCGAAAUCGCUGUGAAGAUGCAGUGUACCCGCGGCUAGACGGAAAGACCCCGUGAACCUUUACUGCAGCUUGACACUGAACUUUGACCUUACUUGUGUAGGAUAGGUGGGAGGCUUUGAAGCUGGAACGCUAGUUCCAGUGGAGCCGUCCUUGAAAUACCACCCUGGUAAUGUUGAGGUUCUAACUCUGUCCCGUGAUCCGGGACGAGGACCGUGUCUGGUGGGUAGUUUGACUGGGGCGGUCUCCUCCUAAAGAGUAACGGAGGAGUACGAAGGUGCGCUCAGCGUGGUCGGAAAUCACGCGUAGAGUAUAAAGGCAAAAGCGCGCUUAACUGCGAGACCCACAAGUCGAGCAGGUACGAAAGUAGGUCUUAGUGAUCCGGUGGUUCUGUAUGGAAGGGCCAUCGCUCAACGGAUAAAAGGUACUCUGGGGAUAACAGGCUGAUACCGCCCAAGAGUUCAUAUCGACGGCGGUGUUUGGCACCUCGAUGUCGGCUCAUCUCAUCCUGGGGCUGAAGCAGGUCCCAAGGGUAUGGCUGUUCGCCAUUUAAAGAGGUACGCGAGCUGGGUUUAGAACGUCGUGAGACAGUUCGGUCCCUAUCUACCGUGGGCGCUGGAAAUUUGAGAGGAUCUGCUCCUAGUACGAGAGGACCAGAGUGGACGAACCUCUGGUGUACCGGUUGUGACGCCAGUCGCAUCGCCGGGUAGCUAUGUUCGGAAGGGAUAACCGCUGAAAGCAUCUAAGCGGGAAGCCUACCUCAAGAUAAGAUUUCCCUAGGACUUUAUGUCCUCUAAAGAGCCGUUCGAGACUAGGACGUUGAUAGGUUGGAUGUGGAAGCAUAGUGAUAUGUGAAGCUGACCAAUACUAAUUGCUCGUGAGGCUUGACUAU
rnacentral:rRNA from 1 species